rnacentral:rRNA from 1 species
CCUACGGGAGGCUGCAGUGAGGAAUAUUGGUCAAUGGGCGCGAGCCUGAACCAGCCAAGUAGCGUGAAGGAUGACUGCCCUACGGGUUGUAAACUUCUUUUAUAAAGGAAUAAAGUGAGGCACGUGUGCCUUAUUGUAUGUACUUUAUGAAUAAGGAUAGGUUAACUCCGUGCCAGCAGCCGCGGUAAUACGGAGGAUACGAGCGUUAUCCGGAUUUAUUGGGUUUAAAGGGAGCGUAGAUGGGUUGUUAAGUCAGUUGUGAAAGUUUGCGGCUCAACCGUAAAAUUGCAAUUGAUACUGGCAGUCUUGAGUACAGUUGAGGUAGGCGGAAUUCGUGGUGUAGCGGUGAAAUGCUUAGAUAUCACGAAGAACUCCGAUUGCGAAGGCAGCUUACUAAACUGCCACUGACAUUGAUGCUCGAAAGUGUGGGUAUCAAACAGGAUUAGAUACCCGAGUAGUC